rnacentral:rRNA from 1 species
CACGUAGGGUGCGAGCGUUGUCCGGAAUUAUUGGGCGUAAAGAGCUCGUAGGCGGUGUGUCGCGUCGGCCGUGAAAACCUGUGGCUUAACUAUAGGCUUGCGGUCGAUACGGGCAUCACUGGAGUUCGGCAGGGGAGACUGGAAUUCCUGGUGUAGCGGUGAAAUGCGCAGAUAUCAGGAGGAACACCGGUGGCGAAGGCGGGUCUCUGGACAGUUCCUGACACUGAGACACGAAGGCCAGGGGAGCAAACGGG